UAAAUAUUCCCUUUUUUUCUCCUAGAAAAGAAAAUGAAAUCUUGAAAAAUUGGUGACCAGGUUCAAUGAAUCUGGAGAAUACCAUCCUUUUUCAGCCUCACUAUUUUUUAAACCGUGUUUAAUGGUCGGAAAAGACAUCACUCACACUUGCACACACCCAAAGAAAGAAAAUGAGGAGGGUUUUUUGACCAUUUUUUCAUGGCCUUAUUGCUUGCUCUUUCUUCUUCUUCUUCAUCUAUUUAUACUCGUUCUUUAUCUUCUAUUUCCUCUCUUUCUGCAGCUUUCAAUUGAAUUUAAUGGAUCUACAAUGCCUCCGUCGUCGAUCUGAUUUCUUAGAAAAUUUGAUUUUGCUCGAUACAUGCAAAGUUAAAAACCCAUAUUUAUGCAUCUGGGUUUGUUUUGGAGUGGGGAUGAUGAUCAGGAUGUAAACUAUAAUAUUGAUUUUCUAUACAACAAAGAUGGCUGCUCAAAACCCUUUUCUUUAAGCCAUGGAGCUUAUUCAUGGCUAUAUUCGCAUGGAGUACGAGAAUGCGGCUUUUUUUCAAGGAAUGAAUGGUGGAAUUUGCAUCCUGACAAAGUGGAAUAAUGAAACAGAAAAUGUCGGCGAUAGAGACUUGUCCUGGCAACAAGAAAGAGAAGGAAAAUGGUGGUGGGAGGUUGAUAAGGCUAUGAACAAGACUGCGCUGGAUCAGAAUCUAGUCUUGUUAGAGAAAUGGACUUUACUCUUUCUCUCUACUUUUCCAUUCCACUUUUCUCAGGCAAGGAAACGGGCGCAUGUACAAAUAUGUCACAAAAGGGACUUAUCUGGCAUUGAAGUCACGCUUGAAAGUUGCAAACAGGUGGUGAGCUUUCAAAUCACAUGCAAAGCACGAGUUUAAGCAACAUUCCGCAUCCUCCCCACCAUACUUCUUAUUCUUCCUCAGAUGCUAAUCUUUCAUAGAUCUUUUUGAUGCUCUACGAUCACGAUGAUGUUGGUCGAGAUAUUUCAUACAGAACUAGGUUUGCCAAUUAAGCACCGGCGUUUGAAACAGCAAAACAUGCUGGUUUUAAGGGUGGUAGUGUGUGCUUGAUUGGAGAUUUCUGUGUUCUGUACUUUCACUCUGAAGAGAGUUCCCCUUUCAAACUUCAAAGAAAACCUCUGUGAUCAUGUAUGUGUUGGAGAUCCAUUUUCUACACCAUGAUCAUAAAAAAUCUGCUGCCAGGCCUUUUGAUUCCUGUAUUUUAACAGAGAAUGAAAGCUAGCAGUCUUGUGUUUUAAACACUUAAAAAUAUAUAGAUAUAUAUAUAGAUAGAGCUGUAUGAGAAUCUGUAAGUUAAGUAUUUUUGCAUAUUCUUAUUUUUAUUAAAUUCCCUUUUCCUUCAAUGUAAGAGAGUCUUGUUGGUUUACCUUUCAAAUUAGUUUCUAUAUUUUCCGAUAUAUACUGUAAUUGUAAUUCGUAAUGUGUGUUUCUUCAUAAAUUUGAAGAAAGGUUUUUACCCCUAAUUAAUUCUAUGUCAUUUCGAUUGACUA